UAAGUUUGAUGGCGACCGGCGCACGGUGAGUAACACGUAUCCAACCUGCCGAUGACUCGGGGAUAGCCUUUCGAAAGAAAGAUUAAUACCCGAUGGCAUAGUUCUUCCGCAUGGUAGAACUAUUAAAGAAUUUCGGUCAUCGAUGGGGAUGCGUUCCAUUAGGUUGUUGGCGGGUAACGGCCCACCAAGCCUUCGAUGGAUAGGGGUUCUGAGAGGAAGGUCCCCCACAUUGGAACUGAGACACGGUCCAAACUCCUACGGGAGGCAGCAUG
rnacentral:rRNA from 1 species